rnacentral:RNase_P_RNA from 1 species
GGAGUGGGCGAGGCGAUCGCUCGGCCCCUUGCGGGCCGGGAGGAAAGUCCGAACUGGGCAGGGCACGGUGGUUGCUAACGGCAACCCGGCGCGAGCCGAGGGAAAGUGCCACAGAAAACAUACCGCCUUUGACACGUGACCGGGGGGCUUCACCCGCCGGCUCGGCGCGGCGCGAAGCGCCGGUCACGUGUCAAGGGUAAGGGUGAAAUGGUGCGGUAAGAGCGCACCGCGGCGCGGGUGACCGUGCCGGCAGGGCAAACCCCACCGCCAGCAAGCCCAAAUAAGCAGCCAGAGGUGGCCCGCCUCGUUACGAGCUGCGGGUAGGGCGCUCGAGCGGCCCGGCGACGGACCGCCCAGAUGAAUGAUCGCCACCCUCGACGCGUGGCCGCAGGCUUCGCCUGCCGACGCGAAAGCGUCGCGACGCGGAGCGUCGGCCACGUGUCAAGGGCAACAGAAUUCGGCUUAUUCGCCCGCUCCGCCA